GACGAACGCUGGCGGCGUGCUUAACACAUGCAAGUCGAACGGAAAGGCCCUGCUUUUGUGUGGUUCUCGAGUGGCGAACGGGUGAGUUACACGUGAGUAACCUGCCCUUUACUUUGGGAUAUCUUCAGGAAACUGGUGCUAAUACCUGCUAGGAGCUCCUGCUGCAUGGUGGGGGUUGGACCGUUUCGUCGGUUGGGGAUGGACUGGGGGGUUGUCAGCUUGUUGGUGGGGUAGUGGCAUACCAAGGCUUUGAAGGGUAGGCGGCCUGAGAGGGGAAACAGGGACAAGAGGACUGAGAGAGGGAGCAGACUGGAACGGGAGGCAGCAGGGGGGAAUAUGGCACAAUGGGGGGAAGCCUGAUGAAGAAACGCCGCGAGCGGGAUGACGGCCUACGGGUUGUAAACCGCAUUAGGCUGAGACGAAGCGGGAGUGACGGUAAUGGGUAAAGAAGCACCGGCUAACUACGUG
rnacentral:rRNA from 1 species